rnacentral:rRNA from 1 species
GGGUUGUGAGGUUAAGCGACUAAGCGUACACGGUGGAUGCCCUGGCAGUCAGAGGCGAUGAAGGACGUGCUAAUCUGCGAUAAGCGUCGGUAAGGUGAUAUGAACCGUUAUAACCGGCGAUUUCCGAAUGGGGAAACCCAGUGUGUUUCGACACACUAUCAUUAACUGAAUCCAUAGGUUAAUGAGGCGAACCGGGGGAACUGAAACAUCUAAGUACCCCGAGGAAAAGAAAUCAACCGAGAUUCCCCCAGUAGCGGCGAGCGAACGGGGAGGAGCCC